CCCUUAGAUGUUCUGGGCCGCACGCGCGCUACACUGACGAAUGCAACGAGCUUAUAACCUUGGCCGAAAGGUCUGGGUAAUCUCCAAAUUUCGUCGUGAUGGGGAUAGAUUAUUGCAAUUAUUAAUCUUCAACGAGGAAUGCCUAGUAAGCGCAAGUCGUCAGCUUGCGUUGAUUACGUCCCUGCCCUUUGUACACACCGCCCGUCGCUCCUACCGAUUGAAUGGUCCGGUGAAGCGUUCGGACCGUGGCCUUUGGACGGUUCGCCGUCUGUUGGCUGCGGGAAGUUCGUUAAACCUUAUCAUUUAGAGGAAGGAGAANUCGUANCA
rnacentral:rRNA from 1 species